GACGCUCGAACAGGCAUGCCCGCCAGAAUGCUGGCGGGCGCAAUGUGCGUUCAAAGAUUCGAUGAUUCACUGAAUUCUGCAAUUCACAUUACUUAUCGCAUUUCGCUGCGUUCUUCAUCGAUGCCAGAACCAAGAGAUCCGUUGUUAAAAGUUU
rnacentral:rRNA from 1 species